GCCUGAAUUAAAAAGAAAUGAAAAGUUAUCAUUUCACCUUUCAGCUCUAAUAUCAAAUCCGUAAUUUGAGAUUUCACUUCAAAUUAUCAUGAAUGGUAUACCUGAUUUGGGCCGUCUCGUACAUCGACUUCUGUGAGCCAUAUGGAAACUCGUGCUGCAGCAAGAGUAUCAAUUGCUGCUCUCAUAUAUUCAGCAGGUGACGCCUUCGAAUCACCACUCCGCUCUAUUGUAUUGUAGUCAUUCAAGAACAUGGGUGUUCUUCUGUCAAGAUGGUGUGCUUUCUGGAAAUAAACUUGCGAAGCAUUUACCCCAAGCAUACUUUCGAAGUAUGAAAAGUGUGAAAGUGAUUUUACCCACCAGGGUUGGUACUUCGCGUCAUCCCAUAAGAUUGUGUGACCUCGAACAGUGCAGUAAUAAUGGUGUGAUUUGGGUAAACAAGCAGUACCUGAAAGUAGAGAUCGGCAUAACCAGAUGAAUCAACAGUAAGGCCGCCUUUCAGCAUGGACCAGCAACCAGAUUGAGCAAUAGUGGAACCCGCAUGUGUAAAUCCGUCAGUUGUUUUGAAAAUGGCCUCUACUGUCUCUUCUCCUUCACUCACUUGUAUCCAAGCUGAAAAAACACCAGAAAUUUUAGAUUUCAGAAUAAAAAUCUGUAAUCUCUCCCGGUCUCAUGUACUCAAGACUAAUAGUUGCACAACUUGCAGAAACAUUUUAAAUUUUACCUGAAAAUGUGUAAAGCUUCCU